rnacentral:tRNA from 1 species
GUUUAGAUAGCUCAGUUGGUUAGAGCGUAAGGCUGAAAACCUUAAGGUCGGUGGUUCAAACCCACUUCUAGACA